GACAGCUCAGUUUGUUAGAGCAUGGUGCUGAUAAUGCCAAGGUCACAGGUUUGAUCCCCGUAUGGGACA